GAUGAACGCUGGCGGCGUGCCUAAUACAUGCAAGUCGAGCGAACAGAUGAGGAGCUUGCUCCUCUGACGUUAGCGGCGGACGGGUGAGUAACACGUGGAUAACCCACCUAUAAGACUGGGAUAACUUCGGGAAACCGGAGCUAAUACCGGAUAAUAUAUUGAACCGCAUGGUUCAAUAGUGAAAGACGGCUUUGCUGUCACUUAUAGAUGGAUCCGCGCCGCAUUAGCUAGUUGGUAAGGUAACGGCUUACCAAGGCAACGAUGCGUAGCCGACCUGAGAGGGUGAUCGGCCACACUGGAACUGAGACACGGUCCAGACUCCUACGGGAGGCAGCAGUAGGGAAUCUUCCGCAAUGGGCGAAAGCCUGACGGAGCAACGCCGCGUGAGUGAUGAAGGUCUUCGGAUCGUAAAACUCUGUUAUUAGGGAAGAACAAAUGUGUAAGUAACUAUGCACGUCUUGACGGUACCUAAUCAGAAAGCCACGGCUAACUACGUG
rnacentral:rRNA from 1 species